rnacentral:rRNA from 1 species
GGCAGGGAUAAACGCUGAAAGCAUCUAAGCGUGAAGCCCCCCUCAAGAUGAGAUUUCCCAUUUCUUCGGAAAGUAAGAUCCCUGAAAGAUGAUCAGGUAGAUAGGUUUGGAGUGGAAGUGUAGCGAUACAUGGAGCGGACAAAUACUAAUCGAUCGAGGACUUAACCAAAA